GCCCUGGGCUUGUGCUCGGGGAGUCAGUGGUGGAUUCUGACCCCCAUGCACCCCUGCAGGCCCACUGGCCUCAUCCUUCACCCCUGCCCUGUGCCU
rnacentral:pre_miRNA from 1 species